ACUCCUGCGGGAGGCAGCAGUGGGGAAUUUUGGACAAUGGGCGAAAGCCUGAUCCAGCCAUGCCGCGUGCAGGAUGAAGGCCUUCGGGUUGUAAACUGCUUUUGUACGGAACGAAACGGCCUUUUCUAAUAAAGAGGGCUAAUGACGGUACCGUAAGAAUAAGCACCGGCUAACUACGUGCCAGCAGCCGCGGUAAUACGUAGGGUGCAAGCGUUAAUCGGAAUUACUGGGCGUAAAGCGUGCGCAGGCGGUUAUGUAAGACAGUUGUGAAAUCCCCGGGCUCAACCUGGGAACUGCAUCUGUGACUGCAUAGCUAGAGUACGGUAGAGGGGGAUGGAAUUCCGCGUGUAGCAGUGAAAUGCGUAGAUAUGCGGAGGAACACCGAUGGCGAAGGCAAUCCCCUGGACCUGUACUGACGCUCAUGCACGAAAGCGUGGGGAGCAAACAGGAUUAGAUACCCCAGUAGUCC
rnacentral:rRNA from 1 species